rnacentral:lncRNA from 1 species
GACAGGGAGCUGAGGGGACAUGGUUGAGGGACACACAUCUGAGGGGACAUGGCUGAGGGACAUGGCUGAGGGGACAUGGAUGAGAGGACACGGCUGAGGGGACAGGGGGCUGAGGGGACAUGGAUGAGGGACACAUCUGGGGGGACAGGGGGCUGAGGGGACACAUCUGAGGGGACACAUCUGAGGGGACACGGCUGAGGCAAAGCCAGAGGCUGGAGGGUGAUGGCUGAGGAGAAGCCAUGAAGGGCGGUGGCAGCUGAGGGGAAGCCGUGAGGGGAGGUGAGCAGGGACGAGCAACCCCUAUGUGCAGUGCUGAAACACAGUGACGAGGGACACCUCGUGCUUCGUGGUGUCAGGGCUUUCUCCUCACACCUUUGGGGACCAAGGCGGUUGCCGACAGACAGAGAAGUCUGAGGGUGGAUGUAAGGCUGAACAAAGAUGAAGGAGAUCUCAUGGAAGUGGGAAGGAGCCACAUUUGGCCGGGGAGAGGAUGUGCUGGGAGCACAAAUGUGUAUGAUGGACACGGAGACUGAGGUGGGGAGGCAGCUGGAAGGAGGUUCCUGCUCCAAAACACAACGUCCAGGGCAGGACAGGAGAAAAGACGGGAGAACAAGUUGUAGUGAUGAAACGUACAGAUAGCAGGAUGGAAAGUGAUGAAAGACCAGGCUUUUUACAGCAGGCGUAGCUGUAGCGCACACGGCUGAAACUUCAUAGGAAGCAGAUAAGUGAAAGGUGAGACCAUUAAAUCUUGGUACGGUGACAACAGCCGCGCAGGAGGAAUGCUCAGGCUCAUGCUUCGUGGCUUAAACCACUGCAAACUAUGAUGCGAGUUCAUCCUGGAGGGAGGGGAGGUUGUCCCUGUCUGUUGGCAGCAAAAUUUGUGCAUGUGCCCCAGGGGUGUGUGUGUCACUCAUCUGACCGGGGGGAGCUACUAAAUCUCAUGGGAGUAUGCAACACACUGGCCUGCUAGAUAGGAAAAUCAAAGUCUGGUGACUAAAUUAAACCCAAAAUAGGUGUGUCGCUUAGGUCGGGUCACUUGCGGGAGGGAACACCCUCUGCAUCAGGCUGUGGGAAGGGGCACACCCCAUCCGUGUGCAGGUAAGGUUGCAACUUCUGCCCGCCCCCCCCUCCUGCCAAAUUUGAGAACUGGGUGCUUCCCAGGGCCCUGCUUGCAAGGGCAAGAUAGGGGGAAAUCCCAUGUCCUGAUGAAAGGCAUAUAUAUAACAACUGCUUGCACCAUGUGCUAUUUUUA